rnacentral:sRNA from 1 species
UAUUCUGCCCCAUGGGGAAGGAUGAGAAGCUUCGACUAAGGUUCGACUCGAGCGCCAGCGAGAGAACGUUGCCACAGGCAACGGCCCGAAGGGCGAGGCGCUUUAGAUCUUCUUAAAAAACAC